AGUUUACUGCCUUGUGCGUUUAUACUGCCGUUAUAUAAUCCAACAGAUAUAACUAGGGAUUACUGUUCUUGCAGCGGAUUGCAGACCUCCCGCAUACCUUAUACAGUAUGCGGACGUUGGGAGCGCGAAACUGUGAGGCGUUUGCCCACCUGCUACUGCGGGUUUUAUUGGGUCGUGUGACGGCAAGGCGGUUAAUUU
rnacentral:other from 1 species